UUUUUAUUUUAUUUUAAUUUAAUGUCAAUUCCAUUCACGUCAAAAUAUUACUUCUGCUUUUAUAACCCUCUUUUAGAUAUAAAUUGGAGGUGUACCACUAUUCAUGUGGAUGUGGUUAAUUUCUUUUUUGAAGUGUGUUGUUGAUUGUAAAUAUUGCCUCCAUAUAUUUUAUGAAAUUGCACAUUGUGGACUUUCAAAUUUUGAUUGUAGCCAUUUGCUUGCUCUCCCAUUAGCUUGUGGUUCAAGAUUUUCACAGGAUGCUAAACGCAUAUCAAAGUUUCCUAAGAGCACACCGCCUAUGAUCUGCUUCAGAGAUGG
rnacentral:misc_RNA from 1 species